AGCCUUCUAGAACGUCUGCAAUGACCUUGCGGUGUGAGUGGAACGAAUGUCAUUCAACAUGGGAUGGAAUUGAGUCUUUUUCUCGGCACUUUACGGAUCACGUUAAUCAACUAGAAGAUACUGAUGUUUUAGCUAAUGCUGAUAGUGGUCGUUUCGUAUGUCUUUGGUCUGACUGUCGUUGGGAAAGUGAGAACAGGUCGAAGAUGUGCCUACACGCCAGCUUCCAUCCUUACCAUUCCUACCUAAAACAUGUCGGUAGGACAACUGCAGCAGAAAGAAAACUGGGCAAUUGUACGUUGGGUGAAGCCACAGUAAACGAUAUUCCAGAUGUUCAUGAAGUUUACGCUUGCGGAUGGCGAGAUUGUAAAAGAACUUUUUACUGUCCGUAUCAGUAUUACUGCCACGUCGAAAAUCAUGCCGUUUCUGAGGAUCCCGAAGAGGGCACAACACUGUUCAAAUGUGAAUGGCAAGGUUGCUCUGUUUCAGCUAAGACUAAGUUCAAACUCAAAGAACAUUGCAAAGUUCACACACAUAAGAAGGAAGCAGCAUGUCCAACAUGUGGUGGUCUGUUUGCAAGUGCAACAAAACUGAAAGAUCACUUUGCUCGUCAGGCAUCUCUUGAUGAGGGGUGUUUUCAAUGCUCUCACUGCUUGAAGAGGCUGUCAUCAGAGAGAUUGCUAAGAGAUCACAUGAGCCAGCAUGUGAACAAGUACAAGUGUAUGAUCUGUCCAAUGACAUGUCCAUCGCCUUCAGCUUUGAAGCGACACAUGAGACACAGACACUCAGAACAGCGGCCUCACACAUGUGAUCUUUGUACCUUCAGUUGCAAGACUGGACAUGACCUGAAGCGACAUCAAGAAACUCACAGUCUUGUUAUACCUUAUCGUUGCUCAGAGUGUUCCUACACAACACGAGCACUUCAGUCCUUGAGAAAUCACUACAGAAGAGUUCAUGAAUAUGUAGACAUGAUUCAUCCUUACCAGUGUCAUGCUUGCCACAAAUGCUUUUCCAAGGGGUCUCAUUUGUCUGACCAUCUCAUUGAUAUUCACAAUUUCAGACUUCCUCCUGGUCACACCAGAUUUCGGUACCAAGAAGAUGAGAAUGGUGUUUAUCAUUUACAGACGGUUCGAUUUGAGUCAACAAACUUGAGUCAUGAGGGUGAAGUAAGUAGGGAUAGUAGGAAUGUUUUGACUCUAACUGGAACAGAAGUAGAAACCUGUCGAGCACAGGAAGUGUCACCACAAUCUUCAGACCAAUUGGUACUAUUGCAUAGACUUAUAAUGUCUGACGGUCAGGAGGCUGAAGGGAAUGUGUAUUUGAACAAAUCUACAUCCUCAAACCCUCGGUUUGGUGUAAUAAGCAUAGCUCACAGCAGUAACCCUUACUUUAGUCUGAGAGAAGACAUUCCAAGUGACAAGGAGAUUGAAAAUACUAUCAAUAAAGCCUCAAGCACUAAAAUAACACACUUAGAAGAUUAUGCUGAUCCAAGAAACUUGCAGCUGUUGUCUGAAACUUGUUGUUCAUUGGCCCAUCUUCCAGGCCAAGAAGAUGAAGAUUCCAGAUAAAACGUUUAGUUUUCUAGUUAUCAGACACAUGCUUAGCUAGAUUCAUCGCUAGGUAGAGCUCGAGGAGAGGUGUCUGUCUGUCUGUGUGUGUAUUGGUAUGUAAAAUAGUAUCUCCAUGAAAGACGAGUGCAGCGCCGCCGAAUUUGGCGAAAGUGAGAAUGUUGUCGUCUUCCGGACCUCUCCCGGGAGGACGCAAUUUCCUGCUAAUUGAACCCGCCUCCACGCGCAAAUUUCUCUGGAACGGCCCAUCGGAUCUCCGCCGAAUUUAAACUGCCCAUUCCUGACAUCGGACGGUAGAGCGGGUUUUUAUUGCCGGGAAGUCGAAAAAGGCAAGAUAUGGUUGCGAGACGAGACUUUUGAUUGCAUUAUACGGGAUCAUUAAUACAAUCAGCCCAGACAAAGAAUGGGAGCUUCAUAUAUUGAUUCUACUUUAUCGAUCUCGGAACGGGAUAUCAUUAAACGGUAUAAUUCUGAGCGAAAUUCUUCAUGAAAAUUCUGUCCGGCUGUUCAUUUUUCAGAACGAAGUAAAAAUGCACGUGAACGAGAUACUGUCAGAACCUGUAUACUCAUGGAACAACAUAACUUUGCAUACAACUUUAAAUUAAUUAAUUAAUUCUGUGAGAGAUAGUUCAUGAAUUCGUAAAAUGAUAAAUUAAUUAUCUCACAACCAAUAAUCUAAUCCGCCCGUGUCUAGCUAGAUAGGUAGAUUAGUGCGCUCAAUUUACUGGCGUGUUACGUAUAUUCGCGGGUGUAGAGUAGGAUCAGGAUACUUGUAUGGAAGUGUUCCCAUCACUUUCCCACGUUGUGUUUGGACACGACACUGUACGCUCUCUUGACAUUCACAGCUUGAAAUUUGCUAAUUUG